GACGAACGCUGGUGGCGUGCUUAACACAUGCAAGUCGAACGGGAUUUAGUAAACAGAAGCCUCGGUGGAAGAUUACUAAUGAGAGUGGCGAACGGGUGAGUAACGCGUGAGCAACCUGCCUAUGACAGUGGGAUAGCCUCGGGAAACCGGGAUUAAUACCGCAUAAAAUCGUAGAGACACAUGUUUUAACGGUCAAAGAUUUAUCGGUCAUAGAUGGGCUCGCGUCUGAUUAGCUAGUUGGUGAGAUAACAGCCCACCAAGGCGACGAUCAGUAGCCGGUCUGAGAGGAUGAACGGCCACAUUGGAACUGAGACACGGUCCAAACUCCUACGGGAGGCAGCAGUGGGGAAUAUUGCACAAUGGGGGAAACCCUGAUGCAGCGACGCCGCGUGAACGAAGAAGGUAUUCGUAUCGUAAAGUUCUGUCCUAUGGGAAGAUAAUGACAGUACCAUAGAAGAAAGCGCCGGCUAAAUACGUG
rnacentral:rRNA from 1 species